rnacentral:rRNA from 1 species
AGCGAACGCUGGCGGCAGGCCUAACACAUGCAAGUCGAACGAACCUUUCGGGGUUAGUGGCGGACGGGUGAGUAACACGUGGGAACGUGCCUUUAGGUUCGGAAUAACUCAGGGAAACUUGUGCUAAUACCGAAUGUGCCCUUCGGGGGAAAGAUUUAUCGCCUUUAGAGCGGCCCGCGUCUGAUUAGCUAGUUGGUUGAGGUAAUGGCUCACCAAGGCGACGAUCAGUAGCUGGUCUGAGAGGAUGAUCAGCCACAUUGGGACUGAGACACGGCCCAAACUCCUACGGGAGGCAGCAGUGGGGAAUCUUGCGCAAUGGGCGAAAGCCUGACGCAGCCAUGCCGCGUGAAUGAUGAAGGUCUUAGGAUUGUAAAAUUCUUUCACCGGGAACGAUAAUGACGGUACCCGGAGAAGAAGCCCCGGCUAACUUCGUG